rnacentral:rRNA from 1 species
UGAACGCUGGCGGCGUGCCUAAUACAUGCAAGUCGAGCGACCAGACGAGGAGCUUGCUCCUCUGACGUUAGCGGCGGACGGGUGAGUAACACGUGGAUAACCUACCUAUAAGACUGGGAUAACUUCGGGAAACCGGAGCUAAUACCGGAUAAUAUAUUGAACCGCAUGGUUCAAUAGUGAAAGACGGUUUUGCUGUCACUUAUAGAUGGAUCCGCGCCGCAUUAGCUAGUUGGUAAGGUAACGGCUUACCAAGGCAACGAUGCGUAGCCGACCUGAGAGGGUGAUCGGCCACACUGGAACUGAGACACGGUCCAGACUCCUACGGGAGGCAGCAGUAGGGAAUCUUCCGCAAUGGGCGAAAGCUUGACGGAGCAACGCCGCGUGAGUGAUGAAGGUCUUCGGAUCGUAAAACUCUGUUAUUAGGGAAGAACAAAUGUGUAAGUAACUAUGCACGUCUUGACGGUACCUAAGCAGAAAGCCACGGCUAACUACGU